CUUUACUGUAACCUGGAAUUGGGUUCGGGCUUUGCUUGCGCAGGAUAGGUGGGAGACUAUGAAGCAAUCCUUGUGGGGAUUGUGGAGUCAACAGUGAGAUACCACUCUGUCAGAGCUAGAAUUCUAACCUUCACCCGUUAUCCGGGGAAGGAACCGUAUCAGGCGGGCAGUUUGACUGGGGCGGUCGCCUCCUAAAUGGUAACGGAGGCGCGCAAAGGUGUUCUCAGGCUGGUUGGAAAUCAGCCGCAGAGUGUAAAGGCAGAAGAACGCUUGACUGUGAGAGUGACAACUCGAGCAGGGUGGAAACACGGCCUUAGUGAUCCGACGGCUUGUGCGUGGAAAUGCCGUCGCUCAACGGAUAAAAGUUA
rnacentral:rRNA from 1 species